rnacentral:rRNA from 1 species
UCGAGAAUUUUUCUCAAUGGGGGAAACCCUGAAGGAGCGACGCCGCGUGGAGGAUGAAGGUUUUCGGAUUGUAAACUCCUGUCAUUGGGGAACAAUUGUGCGGAUUUAACUGAUCUGCACUUGAUAGUACCCGAAGAGGAAGAGACGGCUAACUCUGUGCCAGCAGCCGCGGUAAUACAGAGGUCUCAAGCGUUGUUCGGAUUCAUUGGGCGUAAAGGGUGCGUAGGCUGUAAGGUAAGUUGGAUGUGAAAUCCCGGAGCUUAACUCCGGAACUGCAUUCAAUACUGUUUUACUAGAGUACUGGAGAGGAGAUUGGAAUUCACGGUGUAGCAGUGAAAUGCGUAGAUAUCGUGAGGAAGACCAGUGGCGAAGGCGAAUCUCUGGACAGUUACUGACGCUGAGGCACGAAGGCUAGGGGAGCAAACG